UGGAUAAUCUCACAUCGUCAAAACCACCCCAAAAUCAUGGCCUCUUCCUUAUUUCCGUGGAAGCUGUCUUCUUUAGGGGUCUUCUUCCUAUUCUACUUGCUCUUCUUCGUAAACAACAUCACCAUCUUUGUUUCCACUCCAUUUCAUGGCAUAGUCGUUUUUGCUUCCUCCAUUUCUUUCGCUUCCAAUAUGACCAACCAUACGGAUGAAGCAAAGACUCUCCUGAAAUGGAAAUCUAGUCUCGAAGACCACAACCAAUCUCUCCUGUCUUCAUGGCAAGGUAACAACUCUUGCCACUUCAUGGGUGUCACUUGUGACGACAAUGGAUUCGUUGCCCAUCUUAAUCUUUCUAAUCUCGGCCUGAGAGGAACUUUAAAUAGUCUUGACUUCUCGCACUUAACCAAGGUGGUUAGCCUUGACUUUUCCAGCAACUCGAUCUAUGGUGCUAUGACCUCAAGUAUUAGUAACCUUUCCAAACUCAAGUAUCUUAAUUUUUGUGACAAUAGAUUGAGUGGACACAUUCCUUGGGAGAUUGGAUUGUUAGAUUCUCUUUCUGAAGUUUCUUUUAGCAAAAACAACCUCAAAGGUCCUAUCCCUACUUCACUUGGAAAAUUAGGCAACUUAAGAAAUUUGAGCCUAGCAAAGAAUGACCUUUCUGGUCCCAUUCCAAGAGAGAUAGGUGACCUAAGAAGAUUGAAGUUUCUUUACUUAUGGAUGAACCAACUUUCGGGAUCCAUACCUGCAGAGAUUGGGAGGCUAACCGGUCUUAUUGACUUAGGAUUUUCUGAUAAUAAGUUGGUCGGGCGUAUCCCUGCUUCACUAGGAAACCUAAGCAGUCUAAAUGUCCUCUAUCUUUAUGGAAACCAACUUUCGAGAUCCAUACCUUCAGAGAUUGGGAGGCUAACCAAUCUUAUUGAAUUAGAUUUUUCUGAUAAUAAGUUGGUCGGGCAUAUCCCUGCUUCACUAGGAAACCUAAGCAGUCUAAAUGUUCUUUAUCUUGACAGAAACCAAAUUUUAGGGUCCAUUCCUCCUUCUCUUGGAAAAUUAGGCAACUUAAGAAAUUUGAGCCUAGCAAAGAAUGACCUUUCUGGUCCCAUUCCAAGAGAGAUAGGUGACCUAAGAAGAUUGAAGUUUCUUUACUUAUGGACGAACCAACUUUCGGGAUCCAUACCUGCAGAGAUUGGGAGGCUAACCGGUCUUAUUGACUUAGGAUUUUCUGAAAAUAAGUUGGUCGGGCGUAUCCCUGCUUCACUAGGAAACCUAAGCAGUCUAAAUGUCCUCUAUCUUUAUGAAAACAAACUUUCGGGAUCCAUACCUUCAUCAAUUGGGAGGCUAACCAAUCUUAUUGAAUUAGAUUUUUCUGAUAAUAAGUUGGUCGGGCAUAUCCCUGCUUCACUAGGAAACCUAAGUAGUCUAAAUGUUCUUUAUCUUGACGGAAACCAAUUUUUAGGGUCCAUUCCUCCUUCUCUUGGAAAAUUAGGCAACUUAAGAAAUUUGAGCCUAGCAAAGAAUGACCUUUCUGGUCCCAUUCCAAGAGAGAUAGGUGACCUAAGAAGAUUGAAGUUUCUUUACUUAUGGAUGAACCAACUUUCGAGAUCCAUACCUUCAGAGAUUGGGAGGCUAACCAAUCUUAUUGAAUUAGAUUUUUCUGAUAAUAAGUUGGUCGGGCAUAUCCCUGCUUCACUAGGAAACCUAAACAGUCUAAAUGUCCUCUAUCUUUACGAAAACAAACUUUCGGGAUCCAUACCUUCAGCAAUUGGGAGGCUAACCAAUCUUAUUGAAUUAGAUUUUUCUGAUAAUAAGUUGGUCGGGCAUAUCUCUGCUUCACUAGGAAACCUAAGCAGUCUAAAUGUUCUUUAUCUUGACAGAAACCAAUUUUUAGGGUCCAUUCCUCCUCUUGGAAAAUUAGGCAACUUAAGAAAUUUGAGCCUAGCAAAGAAUGACCUUUCUGGUCCCAUUCCAAGAGAGAUAGGUGACCUAAGAAGAUUGAAGUUUCUUUACUUAUGGACGAACCAACUUUCGAGAUCCAUACCUUCAGAGAUUGGGAGGCCAACCAAUCUUAUUGAAUUAGAUUUUUCUGAUAAUAAGUUGGUCGAGCAUAUCCCUGCUUCACUAGGAAACCUAAGCAGUCUAAAUGUCCUCUAUCUUUGCGAAAACCAACUUUUGGGAUCCAUACCUUCAGCAAUUGGGAGGCUAACCAAUCUUAUCGAAUUAGAUUUUUCUAAUAAUACUUUGACUGGUUCAAUCCCUUCAUCAAUUGGAAGCAUGGUCAAUUUAAUUGUGUUAUGCCUUAGUGAUAACAACUUUCUCGGUAUCUUGCCUCCUGAAAUUAACAAGAUUAUUCAUUUGAGUGUUUUGGAGCUCUCUGAUAAUGAACUCGAAGGGCAGCUGCCAGAAAAUAUAUGCCUGGGGGGGAUUAUUGCAAAAUUUCACUAUGGAGAAUAAUCAUUUCACAGGUCAUAUCCCUAAAAGCUUGAGGAAUUGUACUUCAUUAUAUAGAGUGAGGCUCGAAGGAAAUAAACUUACUGGAAAUGUAACAGAAGCUUUUGGAGUAUAUCCGCAACUGAAUUUUAUGGACUUGAGCCACAAUUAUUUGCAUGGUGAACUUUCAUGGAAAUGGGGGCAUUGCCACAAUUUGACGAGCUUAAGGAUAUCGAACAAUAAAAUUUCCGGUGAGAUACCCUCGAUAUUCGGAAGGAUGGCUCAAUUACAGUUUCUUGACCUUUCUGCAAAUAAUUUAAGUGGAAAGAUUCCAAGGGAGUUGGGAAGCUUGCACCUACUACUAGAUCUUAUCCUUAACAACAAUGGGAUCACAGGUGAUAUUCCCCAUCAAAUUGGAUUUUUAUCUCGACUAGAAUAUCUCAACCUAGGAUCAAACAAUUUGAGCGGAGCCAUUCCACCGCAGCUCAGCCUAUGCACCAACUUGCUGAGCUUGAACUUGAGCCAAAAUAAAAUUGAGAGAAGCAUUCCUUCCGAGAUAGGCAAUGCGCAAUUCCUAAGGGUUCUUGAUUUGAGUCAAAAUCUAUUGACAGGAAGAAUACCACCAAAUCUAGGAAAAUUGAGAGUCCUAGAAACCCUAAACAUCUCCCACAAUGGCCUCUCUGGUUCCAUCCCAUAUAGUUUUGCUGACUUAUGGGCAUUAAUUUCUGUUGAUGUGUCCUACAAUGACUUGGAAGGUCCUCUCCCAAAUGUCAAAGCUUUUAAGGAGGCUCCAUUUGAGGCAGUUCAGCAUAACAAGGGGUUGUGUGGGAACGAGACUGGAUUACAGAAAUGCAAUAUUUCUACCAUGAGCAAGAAACACAAUCAACAUGGCGGGGCUAGAAUUUUGAUUAUCCCCGUUCUCUCAUUCUUGGGAUUCCUCAUUCUCUCUUCCUUCUUGAUCGUCCUCAUAAUCUUUAAUUGCCAUCGGAGAAAGAUUAUCAAGAGAGAGAGAGAGGAAUGUAUUGACAGAGACUAAUGAUUUAGAUUUCAUGCACAUUCUGAGUUUUGAUGGCAAAAUUUUCUAUGAGAGAAUCAUGGAGGCAACAGAAGGAUUUGACUCCAAGUAUUAUUUGGGAGAAGGGGCCUAUGGCGUUGUUUACAAAGCUGAUCUGUUGC
rnacentral:lncRNA from 1 species